rnacentral:rRNA from 1 species
CGGAAAGGCCCUUCGGGGUACUCGAGUGGCGAACGGGUGAGUAACACGUGGGUGAUCUGCCCUGCACUUUGGGAUAAGCCUGGGAAACUGGGUCUAAUACCGAAUACACCUCGCUGGCCGCAUGGUCUGGUGGGGGAAAGCUUUUGCGGUGUGGGAUGGGCCCGCGGCCUAUCAGCUUGUUGGUGGGGUGAUGGCCUACCAAGGCGACGACGGGUAGCCGGCCUGAGAGGGUGACCGGCCACACUGGGACUGAGAUACGGCCCAGACUCCUACGGGAGGCAGCAGUGGGGAAUAUUGCACAAUGGGCGCAAGCCUGAUGCAGCGACGCCGCGUGGGGGAUGACGGCCUUCGGGUUGUAAACCCCUUUCAGCACAGACGAAGCGCAAGUGACGGUAUGUGCAGAAGAAGGACCGGCCAACUACGUGCCAGCAGCCGCGGUAAUACGUAGGGUCCGAGCGUUGUCCGGAAUUACUGGGCGUAAAGAGCUCGUAGGUGGUUUGUCGCGUUGUUCGUGAAAACUCACAGCUCAACUGUGGGCGUGCGGGCGAUACGGGCAGACUAGAGUACUGCAGGGGAGACUGGAAUUCCUGGUGUAGCGGUGGAAUGCGCAGAUAUCAGGAGGAACACCGGUGGCGAAGGCGGGUCUCUGGGCAGUAACUGACGCU